CGAAGCAAAGCCCGGGAACAGGGGAAGGAAACAGCUUGUUCACUCUUCUUCAAUGGGGGAAAAGACGUCUGAAGGUGGAAUGCAGGGGAAGAAGAUGGCAGAGAAAAGCUGGAAAGAGUCGAAGAAGAUGUGGGAGAUUGCAGUGCCUGCCAUUCUCACUGCUGUCACUCAGUUCUCCAUUAGCUUUGUCACUUCCGCCUUCGCCGGCCACUUGGGCACCGCAGAGCUCGCCGCCGUCUCCAUUGUUCAAACUGUAAUCGAAGCCUUUGUGUUUGGGAUCACGCUUGGGAUGGGUAGCGCUCUUGAGACGCUGUGUGGCCAAGCCGUUGGUGCUGGACAGGUGAAUAUGCUGGGAAUCUACCUGCAAAGGUCAUUCGUCAUUACUGGCGUCACAGCUUUGGUUUUAACCCCUGUUUAUGUCUUCACAUCGCCAUUGCUGAAGCUUCUUCGUCAAAAUAAAAAGAUUUCAGAGCUCGCCGGAAAGUACUCCAUGUGGGUUAUCCCUCAGCUUUUUGCGUAUGCCUUCAACUCUCCCAUACAGAAAUUUCUCCAAGCUCAGUCUAAAAUCUGGGUCAUGACCGUGAUUUCUAUGGUGGCCUUGGGACUACAUGUUUUUCUGAAUUGGGUUCUCGUGAUCAAGCUCGGUCAUGGUCUUGUUGGUGCUGCCAUUGCAGGUAACAUGUCAUGGUGGUUCGUGGUCUUGGCUCAGAUGGUCUAUGUGGUUUCUGGGUUUUUCCCGGACGCAUGGACUGGUUAUUCUUUGUUGGCCUUCAAAUCUUUGGCUGGAUUUCUGAAGCUUUCCCUUGCUUCAGCCGUAAUGUUAUGCUUGGAGCUUUGGUAUUACACUGUAGUGAUCCUUAUGGUGGGCAGGAUAAGGAAUCCAGAGAUAGCAGUGGAUGCCAUUUCAAUCUGCAUGAACUUGCAGCUUUGGACUUUGAUGAUUACUCUGGGUUUCAAUGCUGCAGUAAGUGUUCGGGUUUCCAAUGAACUUGGAGCUGGGCAUCCAAAUGCUGCAAAAUUCUCAGCAGUGGUGGCUAUUAUAACAUCAGCCGUAUUUGGAAUUGUGUUCACAGCUGCGCUUCUGGCAGCUAAUAGCUACUUCCCCAAAAUAUUCACCGGAAAAGAUGAGUUAAUAAAGGAGACAUCCAAGCUGGGGUAUUUUCUAGCUGUGACUAUUUUCCUGAACAGUGUCCAACCUGUUCUUCAUGGAGUGGCAGUGGGUGCAGGCUGGCAGUCCUUAGUUGCAUUAAUAAACAGUGCCUGCUAUUACAUAUUUGGGAUUCCUGUUGGCGCCUUGCUUGGUUACAAGUUUGAUCUUGGCGUUCGGGGUAUCUGGUCGGGAAUGUUGGCUGGUUGCCUGCUUCAGACAGUUAUUUUGUUCAUAAUUAUGUUCCGAACUAACUGGUCUAAAGAGGCUAUGCAGGCUGAGGAGCGUGUGCAUACAUGGGCUGGCUCACUGGAGGCCCGAACUGAAAAGGAAGAAAGGAUUUUGAACAUGACACCUUAAGGAGAUUGGAGCUGAAAAUUUUGAAAAGUUUGCGAAGAAAAAUAUAUGCAGUACAACAACACAACAACAAAACCAAGCCUUAGUCCCACUAGGUGGGGUCGGCUAAAAAAUAUAUGCAGUGUCACAGUUCCAUGCUGAUCUUUCCUUACUAGACCUUGAUGAGAAUGAGGUUAUGGGUAAAACAAUAAGUAUAAAUGGCUUGGAAAUGUAUGGUUCAACACAUACCAGACAGAUUGGAGUUUUCCAGCCCUGCAGAUGCUAAAGGAUGAUGGUCCUUCCAAAUUUUUGGGUAUAACUUGACACCUCGAAAGCCUAGUGGAGAUGAAGUUUUUAGUACCUUCUUACCAGUUGGAGGUGCUGAUUCUGCUAAUGGUAAGAGAAUGUGUGUUUUAACACCAUACCUUUUUCUCCGCACUGCCCUACUUUCCCAGGCAGUUAUGGGUUGUCAUGUUCAUUGGUUUUUAUCCUCUCUAUGGAGAAGGUGGAGUUAGGGAAUCUGUUCAUGUUCGAUCUAUGUAGCAUCCUUUGAGUGUUUUUUUUUUCCCCGUAUAUAUUUUUGUUCAUCCAUUCUUAUUUAAUUUCGCAUUGAUGUAUUAUGAGUAAAAUUUUGCAUUCCAUUCCAAAAUUCUAGGAGAAUACAUUUUAUGAAAUUGUCUGUGGUCAACUCAAUCCUUUGGCUUCCUUGCUUGGCAUUACUUGGGGGCUUAUCAUGUGUUUCUGAGCUUUUAGAAAAGAGUGAAAUUAAUGAAUAACUUUC